rnacentral:rRNA from 1 species
UUCCAGCUCCAAUAGCGUAUAUUAAAGUUGUUGCAGUUAAAACGCUCGUAGUCGGAUUUCGGGGCGGCUUCGCCGGUCUGCCGAUGGGUAUGCACUGGCGAGGGCGUCCUUCCUUCCGGAGACUGGCCCUACUCUUAACUGAGCGGGGUCGGGAGUCGGAUCGUUUACUUUGAAAAAAUCAGAGUGUUCAAAGCAAGCUAGCGCUUGAAUACAUUAGCAUGGAAUAAUGGAAUAGGACUUUGGUGCUAUUUUGUUGGUUUAUGGGACCGAAGUAAUGAUUAACAGGGACAGUUGGGGCCGUUUAUAUUUCGUUGUCAGAGGUGAAAUUCUUGGAUUUACGAAAGAUAAACUUCUGCGAAAGCAUUCGGCAAGGAUGUUUUCAUUA